GUAGGUGAACCUGCGGAAGGAUCAUUAACGUUAAACUCCCCCCGUGAACAUUCAUAUAGUUGACUCGCCCACCCGCUUGCCAGCAACCCUAGUAAAUCAUCGACCCAGUUUUGAUUUAGUUAGCAGAGUACGUGAGAAUUAUAGUGUUUGCAAACCUCAGCCUAUCCGGGGCCUGCAUACGGAUUGGAAAGUGCCAUACGCAUAAGCCGACGAUUGGACCCUUAUGGUUGCACUGGAGGACAUCACGUCCGGUGCCUAGGUGUUGGGCGUACGCGCCCCCUUUUAACCCAGUCUCGAGUCGGGCCUGCGGUAACUCGCUAGCCCACCAAACGAACAACUGUUAACAAUGGAUAUCUUGGUUCUC
rnacentral:misc_RNA from 1 species